rnacentral:tRNA from 1 species
GUGUGUGUAAUUUAAAAAAAAUAUUAGGCUGUGGCUCUAAAAAUAGAGAUUCACUCUCGCACACC